UACGUAGGGGGCAAGCGUUGUCCGGAAUCAUUGGGCGUAAAGCGCGUGUAGGCGGCCAUGUAAGUCCGUUCUGAAAGCCCGGGGCUCAACUCCGGGAGGCGGAUGGAUACUGCAUGGCUCGAGUACGGAAGAGGCGAGUGGAAUUCCCGGUGUAGCGGUGAAAUGCGCAGAUAUCGGGAGGAACACCAAUGGCGAAGGCAGCUCGCUGGGACGUUACUGACGCUGAGGUGCGAAAGCGUGGGGUGCAAACAGG
rnacentral:rRNA from 1 species